AGCACCUUCGGGUGUGAAUUAGCGGCGAACGGGUGAGGAACACGUGAGAAAUCUGCCUUCAACUCUGGGAUAACUCCGUGAAAACGGGGCUAAUACCGGAUAUGAGAUCUACAGGCAUCUGUGGAUCUGGAAAGUUUUUCGGUUGAAGAUGAUCUCGCGGCCUAUCAGCUUGUUGGUGAGGUAAUGGCUCACCAAGGCGACGACGGGUAGCCGGCCUGAGAGGGCGACCGGCCACACUGGGACUGAGACACGGCCCAGACUCCUACGGGAGGCAGCAGUGGGGAAUAUUGGGCAAUGGAGGAAACUCUGACCCAGCGACGCCGCGUGCGGGAUGAAGGCCUUCGGGUUGUAAACCGCUUUCAGCAGGGAAGAAGCGAAAGUGACGGUACCUGCAGAAGAAGCACCGGCUAACUAUGUGCCAGCAGCCGCGGUAAUACAUAGGGUGCAAGCGUUGUCCGGAAUUAUUGGGCGUAAAGAGCUCGUAGGUGGUUCGUCACGUCGGAUGUGAAACUCUGGGGCUUAACCCCAGACCUGCAUUCGAUACGGGCGAGCUUGAGUAUGGUAGGGGAGUCUGGAAUUCCUGGUGUAGCGGUGGAAUGCGCAGAUAUCAGGAGGAACACCAAUGGCGAAGGCAGGACUCUGGGCCAUUACUGACACUGAGGAGCGAAAGCGUGGGGAGCGAACAGGAUUAGAUACCCUGGUAGUCCACGCCGUAAACGGUGGGCACUAGUUGUGGGGACCUUCCACGGUCUCUGCGACGCAG
rnacentral:rRNA from 1 species